rnacentral:rRNA from 1 species
UUGCUCCCUGAUGUUAGCGGCGGACGGGUGAGUAACACGUGGGUAACCUGCCUGUAAGACUGGGAUAACUCCGGGAAACCGGGGCUAAUACCGGAUGGUUGUUUGAACCGCAUGGUUCAAACAUAAAAGGUGGCUUCGGCUACCACUUACAGAUGGACCCGCGGCGCAUUAGCUAGUUGGUGAGGUAAUGGCUCACCAAGGCAACGAUGCGUAGCCGACCUGAGAGGGUGAUCGGCCACACUGGGACUGAGACACGGCCCAGACUCCUACGGGAGGCAGCAGUAGGGAAUCUUCCGCAAUGGACGAAAGUCUGACGGAGCAACGCCGCGUGAGUGAUGAAGGUUUUCGGAUCGUAAAGCUCUGUUGUUAGGGAAGAACAAGUACCGUUCGAAUAGGGCGGUACCUUGACGGUACCUAACCAGAAAGCCACGGCUAACUACGUGCCAGCAGCCGCGGUAAUACGUAGGUGGCAAGCGUUGUCCGGAAUUAUUGGGCGUAAAGGGCUCGCAGGCGGUUUCUUAAGUCUGAUGUGAAAGCCCCCGGCUCAACCGGGGAGGGUCAUUGGAAACUGGGGAACUUGA